rnacentral:rRNA from 1 species
GCAAAGUUAAUAAGGGCGCACGGUGGAUGCCUUGGCAUUAAGAGCCGAAGAAGG